AAUCGAACCCGGAGAUAGCUGGUUCUCCUCGAAAUAGCUUUAGGGCUAGCCUCAUGGAUCAUUGGUGGGGGUAGAGCACUGAAUGUGCGCGGGGGCCACAAAGCCUACCAAACGCUAUCAAACUUCGAAUACCAUACAAUGCAGACCAUGGGAGUCAGUCCGCGAGAGAUAAGUUCCGCGGGCAAAAGGGGAACACCCCAGAUCAACCGCUAAGGUCCCCAAGUUCACGUUAAGUGGAGAAGGAUGUGGAAUUGCACAGACAACCAGGAUGUUGGCUCAGAAGCAGCCACACAUUUAAAGAGUGCGUAAUAGCUCACUGGUCGAGUGAUUGUGCGCCGAAGAUGUCCGGGGCUAAACGUGACACCGAAGCGAUGGGUGCAUCUGAAGAAGAUGCGCGGUAGAGGAGCAAUGUGCAGAGGCAGAAGCCGUAUCGAGAGGCACGGUGGACACUGCACAAGAGAGAAUGCCGGUAUGAGUAGCGAGAGGCAUGCGAGAAACAUGCCCGUCGAAAGCCCAAGGUUUCCUGGGGAAGGUUCAUCCGCCCAGGGUAAGUCGGGGCCUAAGCCGAGGACGGAAGUCGUAGGCGAUGGACAGCAGGUGUAGAUUCCUGCACUACCGAUGGAAUGAAGCAGUGACACAGAAGGAUAACUCGAGCAGGGUGAUGGUCAACCCUGUGCAAGCAUCAAGGUUGGGUUGUAGUGAAGUACGCAACCCUAUAAGCUGAGAUGUGAUGCGGACCGAAAUUUCAGUAGGGAAGCGAGUGAGUUCACGCUGGCGAGAAAAGCUGCUAGUACAUCCAAAGGUACCCGUACCGGAAACCGACGCAGGUGGGCGAGGAGAGAAUCCUGAGACGAACGGGAGAACCCUUGUUAAGGAACUCGGCAAAAUGACCCCGUAACUUCGGGAUAAGGGGUGCCUGCGAGAGCAGGCCGCAGAGAAUAGUCACAAGCGACUGUUUAGCAAAAACACAGGUAUCUGCGAAAGCGAGAGCUGACGUAUAGGUGCUGACACCUGCCCGGUGCUGGAAGGUUAAGGGAACAUGUUAGAGCAAUCGAAGCAUCGAACCGAAGCCCCAGUAAACGGCGGCCGUAACUAUAACGGUCCUAAGGUAGCGAAAUUCCUUGUCGGGUAAGUUCCGACCCGCACGAAUGGUGUAACGACUUGUGAGCUGUCUCAACAGGGGGCCCGGUGAAAUUGAAGUAUGGGUGAAGAUGCCCAUUACCCGCGACUGGACGGAAAGACCCCGUAGAGCUUUACUGCAGCCUGAUAUUGAGUUUCGGUAACUGAUGCACAGGAUAGGUGGGAGUCUGAGAGACACGGGUUUCGGCUCGUGUGGAGACGCUGUUGGGAUACCACUCUUCGGUUACUGAAAUUCUAACAUAGCUCUGUGAAACCAGAGGAUGGACAGUGUCAGGUGGACAGUUUGACUGGGGCGGUCGCCUCCGAAAGAGUAACGGAGGCGCCCAAAGGUACCCUCAGAAUGGAUGGAAACCAUUCGAAGAGCGCAAAGGCAGAAGGGUGCCUGACUGCGAGAUUGACAAAUCGAGCAGAGACGAAAGUCGGGCUUAGUGAUCCGGCGGUAUUGAGUGGAAAAGCCGUCGCUUAACGGAUAAAAGCUACCUCGGGGAUAACAGGCUGAUCUCCCCCAAGAGUCCACAUCGACGGGGAGGUUUGGCACCUCGAUGUCGGCUCAUCGCAUCCUGGGGCUGUAUUCGGUCCCAAGGGUUUGGCUGUUCGCCAAUUAAAGCGGCACGCGAGCUGGGUUCAGAACGUCGUGAGACAGUUCGGUCCCUAUCCAUCGUGGGCGUAGGAGUCAUGAGAGGAGCUGUUCCUAGUACGAGAGGACCGGAAUGGACGCACCACUGGUGCAACUGUUGUCGUGCCAACGGCAUAGCAGGGAAGCGAAGUGCGGAUGGGAUAAACGCUGAAGGCAUCUAAGCGUGAAGCCCACCUCAAGAAUAAGACUCCACAAUAGACCCCUGGAGGACUACCAGGUAGAUAGGUCAUCGGUGGAAGCGUUGU
rnacentral:rRNA from 1 species